AACGAACGCUGGCGGCAGGCCUAACACAUGCAAGUCGAGCGAACCCUUCGGGGUUAGCGGCGGACGGGUUAGUAACGCGUGGGAAUAUGCCCAAAGGUACGGAAUAGCCUCGGGAAACUGAGCGUAAUACCGUAUGUGCCCUUCGGGGGAACGAUUUAUCGCCUUUGGAUUAGCCCGCGUUGGAUUAGGUAGUUGGUGGGGUAAUGGCCUACCAAGCCGACGAUCCAUAGCUGGUUUGAGAGGAUGAUCAGCAACACUGGGACUGAGACACGGCCCAGACUCCUACGGGAGGCAGCAGUGGGGAAUCUUAGACAAUGGGGGAAACCCUGAUCUAGCCAUGCCGCGUGGACGAUGAAGGCCUUAGGGUUGUAAAGUCCUUUCAGCUGGGAAGAUAAUGACGGUACCAGCAGAAGAAGCCCCGGCUAACUCCGUGCCAGCAGCCGCCGUAAGAC
rnacentral:rRNA from 1 species